rnacentral:lncRNA from 1 species
AUGCAGGAUGACUUUCUCUUUAGACACUGGAACUUUUGUUAUGCUAAUGGGGCAGGGACCAUUUCCAAUUCAGUGUCACCUAGGCCUGGUCAAUGGCUCCCUUCUGUGGCUGGCCACAUCUCCUGGGAUCUUCCUGGUCUUUUAAGCUGUAAUUUAGUUGGAGCUGCUGUCAAUUUCCUGUGCUCAGUACGUCUGCGACGAUAUCGCAGAUCUGUCAUCGUGCUGAUGUUCAAGACUGGAGGGCAGCGUACCUCCCAGGCUGGCCCUCUGCUGGCCUUGCAGCCCGGAGCCAGGCCCCCUGGCCUCUGGCAGACACCUCGUUCUCAGGGACACGUGGGCUACGUGAGGCUGAGGAGGCUGAGAAGAGCUGGGAUUUGACCUGUGUGCCAUCUGAGGACCUCAUAUCAACAUGCCUAAGGCUAUCCUCUCUACCUGCCAACCCUGCUGAGCUUGGUGGGCAUACUGACUGCCCUCCUAGGCCUCUUGGCGACUGCUGCCCCCAGACUCCUGUCCUCCCUGGCCCUGGGCUCUAAAGCUGAAAGCUUUUGGCCUGGCCUUCUACUGAAUGGAAAUCGUGUGGGGCAGCUUUGCCCAGGAUGAGGUGUCAGCAAAAGGUCCCUGAGGAACAGGGGAGGCUUGGAAGCACACGGGCAGCCGCAGGUCAGUGAGACCACAUUUCUGGGAGUGAUGCUUGGUAUUCUGGUGUCAGCUGUGCCUAGUGGAGACUGCUCAGCCUGCAAUCCAGCCUUGCAGCUCAGAAGCUGGGUGACUCCUAGGAGAUUCCUUACUUGGAAAGUGAAGGUUAUACAAUCAAGGAAAAGUGCCUACGAACUGCUAAAGAAUGAUCAGAUGUCAGCUGUGAUCAUAUUUAGAAAAGUAAGGAUCCUAACGAUGUUAUCGUUAUGUACUGGGUCUGGAGACAUGAAUUAGACCUAACUAUUACUCGUGUUUUAGGAAGGUGUAUCUGUGGUUGGCUCUGAGACCAACACCCAAGUUAGAAAAGAAACAUUUUGGGUGAAUUUAUUUCCAUCCAGGACUCUGUGAUACCUGACUGUUAAGGGGGUGGCAGGAGAAUUAUGCUUUCGAUUUUUUGAUGGGGAAGAGCUGGCACGCCAUGGCAACAGCUUUUGAAUUGUCCUUCAUUCGUCAGUCAGCAGGGUGUGGUCUAUGAGCCCCGGCCAGCUGUAGUGAGCUGGAGGGGAUGAGGCCCUUGUGGUAAACCACCCUUCCCAUCUGUGCUUUCCCUGUGUGCACCCUCAGAUGGGUCCUCUCCAGAGCAGGUUCAAAUGCAGGUCUCCACCUCUACUCAUAAAAUCAGGGCCCUUUCUGUGUCCCAGGCACCAAGUUGGUCUCAGUGGGGACCAGCACCUCAUGAUCCUUGUACUUCUGCACUGGGGGCAUGGUGUGGCUUAUUGUCAGUGUCAGAAAGGAUGUGGGCCCAGUGUCAUGGGCCUGGGAGCUGAAGGCAACAGAGGCUGCUCGGCACUCCUGGAGCUCCAGCAAGACGUGGGCACAGACUCUUCCAUGCUGGAUGCUGAAUGGGCUCCCCAGGUGGAGAGCAGGCUUCCCUGGAGGUUGGGAAGGAAUGUAUGUGUCCAAGGGCACAGUGGAGCCCUGAGCCAGUGAGGAAGAAGUGGGACCUGAUGGUCAAAGACCCAGCAGAGGACACCAGCCAAUGUCAUAGACCAUAAGGUGCCACAGUCUACUUCUGAACAGAGAAUGGGCAUAAAAAUUCUCUUUUAGUAAUGCUGCUACAGUGACUAUGUCUUACAGGGAGGGUAAGUGGCUGGAGCUGGGGAACCUGUUCUGGAAGCAACUAGAUGAUUGGAUCAUCAGCAGAUGAACUCAGGGUCAAGGUGAGGCUGCAAAGGAGAGGCAUGUGGCUAAGACAGGACUUUGUGACUGGCUGGGACAGGAGAUAAAGAUGAGAGAGAAUAACAAUAACACCCACACUGGGUGGCCCUGUGACCUGUUGUUUAGUCCUGUACUUUGUGCUUCCUGGGCCCUGGGUACCAACGAGUUGCUGCUCAUCUUCUUGGGGAGGGAAGCAUUGUGAACCCCCCCAAAGGGAAGACAGGAUGGACCAGGAAGAGGCCAUGACCUGUGUGUGGAAGCCGUAGGAACGCUAAUGGAAUAUGCAGAAUAAUAAGAUGCACGGACUGGCAAGGACCCAGGAGAUGUGUCUUGCUUGGGAGAAAACAUGGUGCCGUUAGCAAUGACCUUAGUGCUGGUGACCAGGUUUGUGCAGAAGGAGGAGACUGUCUGGGUGCAGCCCGCGUCUGGGGAUGGUCCAGAUUUAUGGCAAUGUGAUCAGUACGCGUGGAGAUAACCCAACAGUUCGUGGCCGGUGAAAAUUCAGUUGUUCUAUUUUGAUUUUAAUUUACCGUUGGUAUCAGGUUAAUGAUUCCUUUUAUUGAUGAGUGAUCAGACUAUUAGGUAGAGACUAAAGUCUUUCUGUAAACUGUCCCUCCUUGAUUUCCAUUUUAACCCCUUGCUGGUGCUUUAUGGGAACCCCAACCCCUUUAACAAACUGGGUCUCAAUGAACAAGUCUGAUGGGAUUCACCUGUUGCACACACAUGUGUAUUCCUCAUCACAUGGUAGCAAUUACUACCUCCACUGUGCACAGGACACCAGGGAUGGGACGCUCCUCCCAGGCCCAGGAGCCCUUGCCUCGACACCUGCUUUAUUUCAGAAUACUUUCUGCUCAAGAUUGCAAAUGGCUCAUUAAGUCCCAUCAUCUCAGUCACACACCUUUUGGGAAAGAAAUCUGGAAAGCAUGUAAACAUACCAAAUGUCCUGUUUCCGUGAUACCUGUGUCCUAGAUGGGCUUUUCUGUUUGUCACUAAAAUGGGGGCAGCCAGGAAAGGAACCCAAAGUUACCCCUCAUUCAGAGUUUCAGCCUCCCUCUGGGGAUGUCCUGCUUCCCUUGUUUGUAGGGAUGUUCGCAAAGCUAUUUUUAACUCAAACCUAGUUCAAAUGUUGAUCAUUUUGGCAAACUGCAAUUAGUAUACCAUUUGUAAAAAAGGAUUAUUCUGUCAUUUUAAUUUUAAUUGAGUAUUGAAUUCUUUUCAAAGUUAAAUCUAUUUUGGAAGUUUGAGGAGAUCAAAUCAUAUAGGGUGGUAAUGAAAAAUAAUGCAAAAUGUCAGGUGCACCAAUGAUGACUAACUGGUGGGUCAGCUGAUCCUCUGUCCUCUCUGUGAGCUCACUUUGAGAGUUGGCUAGGAAGAAUUAGUUUCCGGCUUCAACACCAUCUCUAGAGCAAAAUCCCAUCAUACUAAUGUCAAAUAAAAUUAAACUGAAGAUGAACUUUAAAAGUCCC